UCUUUCGGGGUUCCUGAUUCAUGAAAGAGUCUGCGAGACAUUCUGCAGGACACAGCAGAAAAUGACUGAACUGUCUUUGAAAUUUCCUGCUUCAUGGAAAUGUCUCUGGAUACCAUGGGCCUGUAGGCCGAAGAUGGAUGCCCCAACGGUACAGAGGAACUUUGGGUGACUGUCCAGGCAGCGAGAUGUCUCUGUCAUUUCUAGAGUUUUCUUAUUUCUUGUUUACUUAGGUAAUAUUAUAUCCUUCUGGAGUCUUUGAUGGAGUUGAAGAAUGAAUAGUUAUAGUUUUCCUUAGUUAUGAUAAGAGAUAAAAUAGAUAUAAAUAUUGUAACUGUAAUUCUUACUUGAUAACUGUUUUGUUAUAUGUAAUUUUACUAUGCUAAAGUUAAAGCCUUUCUUUUUUGUUUAAACGGAAAAAGGGGAAAUGAUGUGGGAAUGAUUUCUUACUAAUAAAGAAACUGCCUUGGCCCAUUUUAUUGGAUAGAAAAUUAGGUAGGCGGAGUAGACAGAGGAGAAUGCUGGGAAAAAGAAGCUGUGUGAGGAGUCGCCAUGGUUCUCCCGCUCCAGACAGACGCAGGUUAAGAUCCUCCCUGGUAAGCCAGCUCGUGGGCUACACAGAAUAUUAGAAAUGGGUUAGAACAAUAUGUAAGAGCUAGCCAUAAGGAACUGGAACUAUCCGGGCCAGGCAGUGUUUGAAAGAAUACAGUUUCCGUGUAAUUAUUUCUGGGCAUAAGCUAGCCAUGCGGGCGGCCGGGUGCCGGGGACGCAGCCCUGCCGCCGCUCCUAUUUCAACAGAUGGCGCCCAGACGUGAUGGCUAAAUCCACUUAAAAACCUGAGAAGGCUUAAAAAUAAGGGAGAGAGAGUUUAACACAGAUUUUUGCUGUUUUGUUGGUGGCGUUCUGUAGAGAGAUUCCUGAUUCAGCAACAGCAAAAAAAAAAAAAAAAAAAAAGCCGCGUCAUUUUAAAGCGCUGCUUCCUGGAGCUAUGCUGCCAGCGUGAACUCUGGCUUUAAAGCAUUUCAAGGCUUUUAUGGGACUGGAUGUUUGUGUUCCCGCUUGGGAUCGGAGGAGAGUGCUCUGAGACUGUGCCGAUGGCUCAGCGCUUCCCGCCUGCACCUGGGCAGACGGCAGAAUCAGGCUUAGGCAGGCGGAAGAGCAUGGCGGAUUCCUGCCGCCAUACAGAGACGCAUUUUCAGACUGCGCAGUGCUCUGCGUGUCAGAUUUGGCUGUAACUUGGAAGAAAAGAGUUUCUGUGCUGCACACUCAGUCUCAGAGUUAAACUGCUGAUUGCGGCUCCAAUGUGGACUGCUGUGUGCCUGGAACUGUUGUGGCUCAGGGGCACCAAAUGGCUCUGAGGCAGGAGCAGCUUGGCUCAGCUCUGCCAUGCUGAUCUGUGCUGGUCUCAGGCAGGAACUACCGUAAUUACCUUAAAACCGUGCAGUUAAGGUUUAGACUGGGCAGGACACAGGCAGUACCGUAUUACCUGUACAUGGUGCAACUUAAGUUUUUAAGAACUGUUUAACAUUUUAAGAAAUGCUCCUGGAUAGUGAAAAAAUUACAGAUUCACAAUAAAACAGAUUCAGACAGACCACUAAAUGGAUCACAAUGUUGGAUGAGUGUACGUAGGCUUGAGAGAGAAAAAAAAAAUAUAGAGAGAAAGAAUAAAGUUAAUGCCCUUAAAAAAAAGGGGAUAAA